rnacentral:ncRNA from 2 species
UAGUAUUAUGAAACAAUAGGUGUCUGUUAAAGACUUAAUAGGGAAUCCGGUGCAAGUCCGGAGCUGUCCCCGCAACUGUCAUGUGGACGAAACGGAGAUCCACUGUGUAAAGAACGCGCACAAAGCUGUGGCUUUUACAUGGGAAGGUCCGGAGUAGGAUGAAGCAGUAGCCAGUAGACCUGCCAUUUGUUUCACGGUUUU